rnacentral:lncRNA from 1 species
GGUGAGGCUCCCUCUCCUCCUGGUUGGGAAAGAGGAAGUACAUAACCCCAAUAGCUGCCCGCAGCUAUCAGGAGGCGCGUGGAACGUGACAGCAGUAUGGGUGAAGAAACUAAGAAUCAGAGGAGUUCUAACUGAGCCAUGAGGACUCGAUUCCUGAAAACCUUAUUUAUAAAAAACAGGAAUGGGAACUAAAACAAGGCAACCUGUGCAAGCCCUUACAAGUUUUUCAUGUAUUACAGUAAAAGGAAGAGAAGCAGGAAGAAGUUGUUUCAACAUCCCUAUAGAGAUGAUGCUGACGUAAUGAAAGCAACAUUACCGUGGAGAAGAGAAACUACAUUCAAAUAAUAUUUCUGAGGUAAAAAUAAGAUUUAUUUACUAUGUGUUAAGUGGGGCAAAGGCUUGGUACAAAAGAAAUUAGAGCUGUUUCUGAAGUUUCUAGUUUGAGACACCAGGUGAGAGCAAUGGAGAGGGUGCCAGAGAGGGUGCCAUUCCAUCCCAUCUCCUCUCUUUAUCUUCAAUCUCUUCCAGGAAGCAUAUAAACAUUUAUCUAACAUAUUAAAAUAAAACAAAACAAAACCUUAAGAUUCCACCAAAAACUCCAAUCAGCACUCCAUCACUCUUGUCCUCCCAAAGUCCAGCUAGUCAUCUAUAUAUGCCCUGUUUCAAUUUUCUUACCACACAAUUUACUUAACCCUCACUAAUCUGGUUUUCAACCCAUGAGUGAAUGUUGCGGGAAGUUAGGGACCCUGAAUGGAGGGACCUGCUGAAGCUGUGACAGAA